CUGUGUUAGAAACCCGCAUGAUUAUACUUGUUAAUGGGGAAUAAGGUGUUUGGUCUGUGGGUGGAAUGUGCCCCUCAGACAAGCUCACACUACCCAAUUGAAGCCGGUGGAGCCAUCUCAGUUCAUAACUUUCACACCACUCUGUGUUUUUCCUUGGGUUCUCUUAAUUCAAAGUCUGUGAUCUUUGGAAAUGGUUUUGUUUUCCUAUGGUCUUAGUUGGGCUUCCUAGAGAGCGGUGGCUGGCAACCGCUGUCUUUCCCAGCCUCACUUGAACUCUUAACAACAAUCCACUUGUAAUUAUGCCAGUUCAAGGGUAGGAUUAGGAUAUUUGUCCAGGAGACCAGGAAUUUCUCAGUUUCACUUUCUGAAUUUAAGAAGGGCAAAUUUGCUCCUGAAUUUUAGAGAAGAUAUUUUAAUUCUCCUGUUGACCUUAUGUGGAGAUCCUUGAAGAUAGCAAGGUAAUUUUUUAAGUGCUGAAAUAUAGUAUUACAUGAAGAUUCAUGUAUAUAUCUCUGGAUUUACUUUUCAACUCUCAUCAAUUCAACUUGGCCAAGAUAAUAACAUUUCAUAUUCAAAGCUGUGUAUCUACUACGGGAACUCAGAAAUUAAAGAUUCACCAACCAAAUGACCAAAUGACUCUAGCAACCGAUCUUCACAGCAAGCAAUAUUUUCUAAACAAUGGGAUAUAUAUGAUGGAAUGAAUGAUUAGCAUCUACAGUGAUAAUAGAGUUCUCUGAGCAGUUUAAAAGCAUACUAUGACAAGCCACGCAAGAGAAGAUGAAAUCACAUCAACCUGGAACCUCUCCAUAUGGGUUCAUGAAUACCAUGACCACCUACGCACAGAAAACACUGCCACAAUUUCACAGUUUUCAUCAUUCAGGAAAUCUAUGCACUUAAUCUGAAGAACAUGAAUUGAUGAUUGGCACCAACAAAUACUUAUCUAUCCUUGUAGAUGUAAAAGCAAAUUUGGUUGGCCCUUUUUCAUUUGAGCACUAUUUUCUACCAUUUCAGUUCUCAUCAGUGGAAUAACAAGUAAUGAUAAUUCCAUCACUCAUGAUUAUUAUAAAUUCUGUAUAGCUAGUAAAAUAUCAAGUUCUGUUAAAUGCAAUUUUAGAGAAAAAUAUUGCUGUGUCCCACUUGGCAAAUUUUAACUUUUUGCCUUUUCCAGAUGCAAAGUGACUAAUGCUUCCUUUUCAAGGCCAGCAUGCAUACAAGUGGUUGAUGAUGAAACGGAAGGCUGUUGGACAAAGGUGCAGGGCAGCUCUCUCAGGUGGAAGGGAAGGGCUUGAUGCUGUUGUCCCUAUAGUCAACCACAUGAUGACUAUGUAAGCAAGCUGUGAGAUGUGUUAUUUGAGAUAUGCGUGGCUGACAAACUGAUUUAACAUCAUGACCACACACUAAGAAUAUUUAGUCUGAGUGUAUUAUAUUUUACUAACCAGAUGAUCAAAAUAAAAAUGAUAUUUGUAUGUCAGU
rnacentral:lncRNA from 1 species